GUGUCAGGGCCUCUGUGGAAGAUCCCCUCAAUACCCAGUGUGACGGCAUGACAUCUGGCUCAAACUGGAGCUGAGUGGCAAGCUGGUCACAGUGGCUGAGAUCCCUAUAAGAUCACUCUCCUCCACAGUUUUGGCAUGUGUCUGGUUAGUGAACCAGCGAGGCUGCCAGGAAGCCGCAGCCCAAUGCUGUCCUAGUGGACCUUUGGCUGGUGCCUCUCAGGACUUCCUGCUCUUCUCACAAUGGCAGGGCCAGCAAGGUGUCUGCUUUGGCCUGAGCGCGAAGGCUUCAUGAGUGUGGUGCUUGCUUCCCACUGAGGAGCCGCCGUGGCUGUGUUGAGGUUGCAGCUCUCCGCGCCCCAAGGCAGUGCCGGCAGCGCUCUGCCCCCUACUGACCGUUGGUGAAAUUGUUCAGCGCCUCCCAAAAGUACUGCACUCUUGUGUCAGAUGGUUCAAAGUCCUCAAACCGAGCUGCCAAGGCAAGAAUCCAUUCUUCGCUCUCAUUCUGCUAGUCCUUAGGUCCCUCCCCUUUGGCUUCACUGCCGUCACCGAGAACUCACUGAGCUUGCGCAGGGCAUCCACAGUGACCUCCGGGUCCCCACACACCUUCUUCUCCAACUCUUGCCAGGUCAGCAAGUCCAGCACUGCCUGUGGCACCACCUUCAGCAGACCUGCCUGCAUGGCUGCCACCUAGGGAGGAGGGAAGAGCCUGGCUGGGACAGAGGGCGCUACUCUCAGCACACACUGGGGCAUCUCUGUACUCACUGACCAACAGGAAAGAGGGACAGUUCCGGUGGGAGCCAGCAUCAGGGCUGUCAUUGGGGGCCUACCAGCGGGCUCUGGCUGCUAAGGGAAGGGGCUUGGGAGGCCCAAAGCUCCUGUCUUAAUACCUGCUCUUUGCUUUCCUCCAGCCGUGCCUUCUGGACCAGCUGGAUGAAACGACAGCGGUCCUCGUAGCCCACUGUGAUGCCCGUGCCCCCGGGGAUCAGCUCCACGACCUGCUGAUCACUCAGUACAGUGGUGAAUGUUAGCUCCUUCCCAAACUUGAACUCAAA